UGAGCAAUCUGCCCUUCUCAUCGGAAUAAGCGUUGGAAACGACGUCUAAUGCCGAAUACGACCUCCUUUCGCAUGAUCGGAGGUGGAAAGCUCCGGCGGAGAAGGAUGAGCUCGCGGCCUAUCAGCUUAUUGGUGAGGUAAUGGCUCACCAAGGCGACGACGGGUAGCCGGCCUGAGAGGGUGACCGGCCACACUGGGACUGAGACACGGCCCAGACUCCGUAGGGA
rnacentral:rRNA from 1 species